rnacentral:lncRNA from 1 species
GAAGUUGUGUCCCCCCAUGCAGACAUCUGUUGACAAUGUCCUGUUCUCAUGAUUUGCUGAAGCGGCCUCCGCCAUCAGUCCAUCACUACCAGCCCCAACACCUCACAGCUGCCUUCUGUAGCAGACCUCAUGACUUAGAGCGCUUCUCAGCGCGUACCAUUGCCGUCUGCUCCUACACGUGGUUUCCGACUGAACCACCCCAAAUCCGGACAAUCUUGGAGGAGAGCAAACGCAGUGAACAUAUAUUCUGCAGCUGGAUAACGAAUUGCCUGUGGCUAACAUAUUGCUUGGUGGAGCAUCCCUCCCUGCCCCGACUGGCUCUCCACUCAACACUGCUCUGCAGACACUCCCAGUGAGGUGCAAACGUCAGACUGAUCCCCCAGGUCCUUCAGUAUCUGGACUCACACGCUUCUCCAGCGCUGCCUCUUCUCGCUUGGGUCCCUCCCACAAAGGCAGGCAGAAUCUUCCCUGGGGCUUGAAUUUGAGCAUCGCACGGCACUGUCCUGUAUGUUUGCAUAUGUUGCCGGAAAUGCCUGAAAUUCUUCCCUCCUCUUCUUCUUCUCCCCAAGUCCUAGUCGUCCUUCCAGAUCAAAUCCAAAUCUUGCCUUGAGGAAGUCACUCCUGGACUGUCUUGUUGGGUGCUGUCCAAUAGAAUAUAAUGCAAGCUGCAUGUGUAACUUUAAACUUUCUAGUAGGCAUAUUUAAAAAAUCAGGUGCAGUUAGUUUCAAUGGUGUUUUAUUUAAUUCAAUAUAUCAAAAAUACUAUUUAAACCUAUAAUCAAUGAGAUAUUGUACAUUCUUUUCUUACCAGGUCUUCAAAAUGUGAUGUCUAUUUUACACUUACAGCACAUUUCAAUUUGGGCUUGCCAUCUUUCGAGUGGCUACCGUAUUGGCAGCACAGGUGUAGUCUAUCUGAUCUUGCUCAUCUUUGUAAUCCUGUGUCACUCAGAGUUUAC